GACGAGAUGGCUGAGAGGUUAAAGCAGUGAACUGCUAACUCAUGGUGCCCAGCACGCGUGGGUUCGAAUCCCACUCUCGUCG